rnacentral:rRNA from 1 species
UUAAAAAGCUCGUAGUUGGAUCUCGGCGGGCAGGGGGUGGUUCGCUCUUCAGCGCUACUGCCCCGCUUUGCCCGUGUGAUUGGCGGAGGUUUCGGGGUGCUCUUCGUUGAGUGACUCGGAGCGCCAUCAGGUUUACUUUGAAAAAAUUAGAGUGCUCAAAGCAGGCUUUUCACGCUUGAAUAUUCGUGCAUGGAAUAAUGGAAUAGGAACUCGUUUCUAUUUUGUUGGUUUUCGGAAAUCGAGUUAAUGAUUAACAGGGACAAUUGGGGGCAUUAGUAUUCAGACGACAGAGGUGAAAUUCUUGGACCGUCUGAAGACUGGCUACUGCGUAAGCAUUUGCCAAGAGUGUUUUCAUUAAUCAAGAACGAAAGUUAGAGGUUCGAAGGCGAUCAGAUACCGCCCUAGUUCUAACCAUAAACGAUGCCAGCUAGCGAUCUGCCGAGUUUUUUUUGUGUAAGGCUCCGCAGGAAGCUUUCGGGAAACCAAAGCUUUUUGGGUUCCCGGGGGAAUAUGGUUGCA